rnacentral:rRNA from 1 species
AGUGAACGCUGGCGGUAGGCCUAACACAUGCAAGUCGAACGGCAGCACAGUAAGAGCUUGCUCUUACGGGUGGCGAGUGGCGGACGGGUGAGGAAUACUUCGGAAUCUACUUUUUCGUGGGGGAUAACGUAGGGAAACUUACGCUAAUACCGCAUACGACCUACGGGUGAAAGCAGGGGAUCUUCGGACCUUGCGCGAUUGAAUGCGCCGAUGUCGGAUUAGCUAGUUGGCGGGGUAAAGGCCCACCAAGGCGACGAUCCGUAGCUGGUCUGAGAGGAUGAUCGGCCACACGGGAACUGAGACACGGUCCAGACGCCUACGGGAGGCAGCAGUGGGGAAUAUUGGACAAUGGGCGCAAGCCUGAUCCAGCCAUACCGCGUGUGUGAAGAAGGCCUUCGGGUUGUAAAGCCGUUUUGUUGGGAAAGAAAAGCAGCAGGUUAAUACCCCGCUGUUCUGACGGUACCCAAAGAAUAAGCACCGGCUAACUUCGUG